GGAGGAGAGUCAACCCCAGCCCCACACGUCGUGCUUCACUGUGUUGGUCAGGGGAGGAGCAGGACUAUUUCAGAGUGCAACUAAGCACAGUUCAAGUUUUUUAAACCUCGGUAGACCCUGUGUUUAAAUGGCUGCUGUGAUCAAAAUUGGAAGAGGAAUUGCAGGCUUUAAUGUCAGUCUCUCUGCUCCCUGGGCUGCUUAUUCUGAGGCUUUCAUGCUAAGUGGAAGGAAACUGGGAGAGAUCCACUCCCUCCAGUUGUCUGUGGCCUGUGGAUUGCAGCCAGACUGUCUUGUGGGCCAACUCUAAAGGAAACAUCUCUCAUGGUUCUGCUGUAGUCAAACUGACGCAUGCGACAUCCACCUGACCUGCUUGAACAUAUAUAGCUUAGGCACUGGAAUUUUCACUGCUG
rnacentral:lncRNA from 1 species